UCUGCUGAUUCAGCAGGUAGCUACCCGUUAAGGCACCGGUGCCUACGGUAGCCAAGAGCAGGGAGGCGCUUCGGCCAGUUAGAAACCGAGAGAAGGCACUGGCCAUCCUUCUUCUUGGGAGAUUGCCUGGGAGCCGGAGUCAGUAACACAACGUCCUGCUGCACCCAGUCAGCCAAGAAGUGUAAC